GGAGAGGUCGCAUAGUGGUCUAGUGCGCCGCACUCGAAAUGCGGUGAGGUCGCAAGGCCUCCGUGGGUUCGAAUCCCACCCUCUCCGCCA
rnacentral:tRNA from 6 species